rnacentral:rRNA from 1 species
GACGAACCGUGCAAACGUUAUUCGGAAUCACUGGGCUUAAAGAGUUCGUAGGCGGCGCGUUAGGUGGGGUGUGAAAUCCCUCGGCUUAACCGAGGAAUUGCGCUCCAAACCGGCGUGCUUGAGGAAGGUAGAGGUGAGCGGAACUGAUGGUGGAGCGGUGAAAUGCGUUGAUAUCAUCAGGAACACCGGAGGCGAAGGCGGCUCACUGGGCCUUUUCUGACGCUGAGGAACGAAAGCCAGGGUAGCGAACGGG